CUGAUGGAGCAACGCCGCGUGAGUGAAGAAGGUUUUCGGAUCGUAAAACUCUGUUGUAAGGGAAGAACACGUACGAGAGUAACUGCUCGUACCUUGACGGUACCUUAUUAGAAAGCCACGGCUAACUACGUGCCAGCAGCCGCGGUAAUACGUAGGUGGCAAGCGUUGUCCGGAAUUAUUGGGCGUAAAGCGCGCGCAGGCGGUCCUUUAAGUCUGAUGUGAAAGCCCACGGCUCAACCGUGGAGGGUCAUUGGAAACUGGGGGACUUGAGUACAGAAGAGGAAAGCGGAAUUCCAAGUGUAGCGGUGAAAUGCGUAGAGAUUUGGAGGAACACCAGUGGCGAAGGCGGCUUUCUGGUCUGUAACUGACGCUGAGGCGCGAAAGCGUGGGGAGCAAACAGGAUUAGAUACCCUGGUAGUCCACGCCGUAAACGAUGAGUGCUAAGUGUUAGGGGGUUUCCGCCCCUUAGUGCUGCAGCUAACGCAUUAAGCACUCCGCCUGGGGAGUACGGCCGCAAGGCUG
rnacentral:rRNA from 1 species